CGUGUAGGCGGUUCGGUAAGUCGGAUGUGAAAGCCCCGGGCUCAACCUGGGAACUGCAUCCGAAACUGCCGAGCUAGAGUCCCGGAGAGGAAGGCAGAAUUCCCAAUGUAGGGGUGAAAUCCGUAGAUAUUGGGAGGAAUACCAGAGGCGAAGGCGGCCUUCUGGACGGUGACUGACGCUGAGACGCGAAAGCGUGGGGAGCAAACAGGAUUAGAUACCCUGGUAGUCC
rnacentral:rRNA from 1 species